GAUGAAGAACGCAGCGAAAUGCGAUAAGUAAUGUGAAUUGCAGAAUUCAGUGAAUCAUCGAAUCUUUGAACGCACCUUGCGCUCCUUGGUAUUCCGAGGAGCAUGCCUGUUUGAGUGUCAUGAAAUUCUCAACCUUUUCAGCUUUCUUUGUUGAUCAGGCUUGGAUGUGGGAGUAUGCGGGCUUCUCAGAAGUCGGCUCUCCUGAAAUGCAUUAGCGGGACCUUUGUUGCUGGCUUUGGUGUGAUAAUUAUCUACGCCAUUGUAGUCAAGCAGCUUAAAAUGAGGUUUCAGCUUCUAACCGUCUCCCCUGAGACAACUUUUUGACAAUUUGACCUCAAAUCAGGUAGGACUACCCGCUGAACUUAAGCAUAUCAAUAAGCGGAGGA
rnacentral:misc_RNA from 1 species